GGCUGCCAUCGUCCUUGGGGGGACAGGCUGGGGAUUUAAGAACAUCCGCCGAGGAAGGUCCGGGGGGGCCUGAGCGGGGCCGCUCUGCCCCACCCCCCCAG